rnacentral:rRNA from 1 species
AUGAAUAAGAAUCCUUCAUCUUCAGUCUCCCUGUGCAUUUUCUCUGGACAGAUAUCUUCGGUAUCCUUCCACGCACAAGCGCACACACACAAGCUUAGUUACAUCUCCCACUCACUCACUCACUCACUCACCAGCAUCUCAUCACAAAUCCGGCAAAAGCACUCCGAAGAAACACAAGAAGAAGAGAGAAAAACACACCCCAAAAUGUACUGUACAAGUAUGCAUGCUCUGAACACCAAGCUCAACCACACAGUCAGUCAGUCAGUCCCCUACGUUGAGCAGCACGUCCCACAGCGUCUCGUCGACCAGCUCCGACAGGAUCUCCGCCUCCAUCUCCUCGGCUAUCCCGUCGACGUCGUCGCGGAACACGCCGCUCCAGGGGGACACGCCCAUGUCGCGGCCGAUGAGCCCGUCCACCGAGUAGGCGUCGUCGUCGACGCUCGGCGGCUCCAGCCACGUCUGCACGGAUCUCCACAGCCCGUCGAGCAGCCUCUUGUCCGCCGACGCUCUUCUCGGUGGCGCCGCGUACCACUUGCUGAACACGCACAGUGUCGUCGAGCCGCGGGCGGCUCCGGGCAGCGCCUCGUUUAUCAGGUCGAAGAGGAGGCGGUGGUCGACGUCAUGGACGGAAGCGGCUUCCGGAGGUGGUGUCGAGCAGAUGACUUGCUCGAACGCCCACUUGGGGAUCGGCUUGAUCGGUUGGCAGGUUAA